rnacentral:lncRNA from 1 species
CGGCGGAGAUUGAGGAGGAGGAGGAAUAUAUGGAGGAGGGGAGGGAGAGGGACGGCGUCGUUUAUUGAAAGGCUUAGUAAUUAAGGUUUUGACUCGUCUGCUCACCUUCUUGAGUACCAUUUUGAUUUUUGCUUAACGCGGAAUGGAUGAUUGGAUAGACUUUUUCUCUGCCAGUUGUCAGAGUGGUUUAGCCAUGCAAGCAAUUAGUGAUUUGAUUAGUUUAUGAUUUAGUGAGGAAAGGAAGUUUAUGGAGCAGUUGAUUAGUGGGUGGGUUGUCGGUUGUCUUUAUAAGGGAAAAUGGAGAUGAAGAUAAUGAUGCAGAGGAAGAUGGAGUAAGGUUGGAUUGUAAGUGAAGAAGAUAGCUAUAAUGGAGAUGAGGAUAAGGAUGCAGAGGAAGAUGGAGUAAGGUUGGAUUGUAAGGGAAGAAGAUAGCUAUUGGGUUUUGAUUGUAAGUAAAUUGUUGGGUUUGUAUAUAAGGAGGAGUAGAGUGCUUCUGUAUCUUUGAAACCUGGGAAGGUAUAUAUACAAAGGGUGUUUGGAAAGGAAGAGAAUCAUCGAAUACUCUGUUUUUGUUUUCU